AAGAUUGUUCGUACAAAUUCAUCUCUUACUUCAGAUGGCAACAAAGCAAGUUAUACCUCGCAUAUUUUGCUUCAUUGUAUAUUUUAAUAUUUUGUUCUGCAGAGGAAUAAACCAUCACUUCAUAUCCUGCUUUUAUUGGUCUUUUUCUUGUCGGUGAGAUACGUGUGCCAUGCACUCUCGUUUACUUUCCUGGACAAUAGGCUUGGUGAAACCAGGACGAAACCAAAGGCACAGUAUGGUAAAAGCAAUUGUUUUUAAAAUGAAUGUAGUCUCUUUUAAAUGAAUUGUAACUAGAUUUGAAGAAGAGUCGACCGGGUUGAGCAACCUAUUAAGGAAAAUGUAGAUGAUAUUCGCCUACGUGAAAGCUUGUCACACCAAAGCGUGUGUGUCCUUCUUACUGAAAAGUCCAUUCAAUCUUAAUUUGUUGAUUCUCUGGAUACCGCUACAUCCAAUGUAAAAACAACACUAACACAUUGAAUAUAACUAUGUGUGUAUGUUAGCAACCAUGGAGUGUCGGAUUCGCCUAGUGAACGACUAGUCUGUGAACCACAAACACUAAACCGGGAACACCUCAAAAAGAGUAACACAUUUUUUGCCAAAUUUGCAAAAAGUUUGCACAUCCCGUGCAAGAACAGAAUGUCUUCUUGUUCUUAAAAAGGCUUCGAAAAUCAUUAUAUGGUUAAAUAACCACCACCAACCACCAACAUUGGAAAUGAAAGAUUGUUCGUACAAAUUCAUCUCUUACUUCAGAUGGCAACAAAGCAAGUUAUACCUCGCAUAUUUUGCUUCAUUGUAUAUUUUAAUAUUUUGUUCUGCAGAGGAAUAAACCAUCACUUCAUAUCCUGCUUUUAUUGGUCUUUUUCUUGUCGGUGAGAUACGUGUGCCAUGCACUCUCGUUUACUUUCCUGGACAAUAGGCUUGGUGAAACCAGGACGAAACCAAAGGCACAGUAUGGUAAAAGCAAUUGUUUUUAAAAUGAAUGUAGUCUCUUUUAAAUGAAUUGUAACUAGAUUUGAAGAAGAGUCGACCGGGUUGAGCAACCUAUUAAGGAAAAUGUAGAUGAUAUUGGCCUACGUGAAAGCUUGUCACACCAAAGCGUGUGUGUCCUUCUUACUGAAAAGUCCAUUCAAUCUUAAUUUGUUGAUUCUCUGGAUACCGCUACAUCCAAUGUAAAAACAACACUAACACAUUGAAUACAACUAUGUGUGUAUGUUAGCAACCAUGGAGUGUCGGAUUCGCCUAGUGAACGACUAGUCUGUGAACCACAAACACUAAACAUGGAACACCUCAAAAAGAAUACCACAUUUUAUGCCAGAUUUGUAAAAAGUUUGCACAUCGCUUGCAAGGACAGAAUGGUCUUCUUGUCCUUAAAAAGGCUUCAAAAUCAUUACAUGGUUAAAUAACCACCACCAACAUUGGUAAUGAAAGACUGUUCGUACAAAUUCAUCUCUUACUUCAGAUGGCAACAAAGCAAGUUAUACCUCGCAUAUUUUGCUUCAUUGUAUAUUUUAAUAUUUUGUUCUGCAGAGGAAUAAACCAUCACUCCAUAUCCUGCUUUUAUUGGUCUUUUUCUUGUCGGUGAGAUACGUGUGCCAUGCACUCUCGUUUACUUUCCUGGACAAUAGGCUUGGUGAAACCAGGACGAAACCAAAGGCACAGUAUGGUAAAAGCAAUUGUUUUUAAAAUGAAUGUAGUCUCUUUUAAAUGAAUUGUAACUAGAUUUGAAGAAGAGUCGACCGGGUUGAGCAACCUAUUAAGGAAAAUGUAGAUGAUAUUCGCCUACGUGAAAGCUUGUCACACCAAAGCGUGUGUGUCCUUCUUACUGAAAAGUCCAUUCAAUCUUAAUUUGUUGAUUCUCUGGAUACCGCUACAUCCAAUGUAAAAACAACACUAACACAUUGAAUACAACUAUGUGUGUAUGUUAGCAACCAUGGAGUGUCGGAUUCGCCUAGUGAACGACUAGUCUGUGAACCACAAACACUAAACCGGGAACACCUCAAAAGGUAAACGUUUUCAAUUUCCUGAGACGACCUUCACAUAUUAUGCAAGAAAAUUUCUAAGUUAACUAAGUUACUAUUGAUCUUUUGGCAACAACAGCUCCAUAUUGGCCAAUGAAUAAUGUGUUUUUAUCUUUACAGAAUACCACAUUUUAUGCCAGGUUUGCAAAACGUUUGCACGUCGCUUGCAAGAACAAAAUGGUCUUCUUGUCCUUAAAAUGACUUUAAAAUAUUACAUGGUUAAAUAACCAUCACCAACCACCAACAUUGGUAAUGAAAGACUGUUCGUACAAAUUCAUCUCUUACUUUAGAUGGCAACAAAGCAAGUUAUACCUCGCAUAUUUUGCUUCAUUGUAUAUUUUAAUAUUUUGUUCUGCAGAUGAAUAAACCAUCACUCCUUUUCCUGCUUUUAUUGGUCUUUUUCUUGUCGGUGAGAUGCGUGUGCCAUGCAGUCGCAUUGGUUUUUCUGAACAAUAGGCUUAUGGAAAACUAAAGGCACAGUAUGGUAAAAGCAACUGUUUGUUGCGUUAAUGUAGAAUCUAUUCUAAUUAAUGAAUCGUUUUGAAGGAGAGUAGACGACGGGUUCAACAAACAGUUAAGAAAAAUACAGAAGAAAUUAGCCUAUACGUGGAAGCUUGUCAUACCAGCCUUUUCUGACCAAAACAACUUUGAUUGGAUGUGUGCCAGUCUUACUAAAAAGUCCAUUCAAUGUCUCAAUUGUUGAUUCUCUGGAUACCGCUACACUCAAUGUUACAAAACACUUUGCGUGUAUAUGUUAGCAACGAUGGAGUGUUGACGAUGUCACAUGGAACACUUUACAACAAACGAACAGGUGCGCGUUAUUCAACCACUAAAUAAAUAUCUUACGAGAACACAUUUUAUUUUAAAAAACUUUCCUAUUGAUAUAGUAAUUAUAAUACAACACUCUUUCAUAUUUCAGAACACCAAAAUGUAUGCCGAAUUUUUAAAACUUUGCAGACUGCGUGAAAGGGAUAAAUGUCUUCUUUCUCGUAAAACAAAGGCUUUGAAAAUCAUUACAUGGUUAAAUAACCACCACCAACAUUGGUAAUGAAAGACUGUUCGUACAAAUUCAUCUCUUACUUCAGAUGGCAACAAAGCAAGUUAUACCUCGCAUAUUUUGCUUCAUUGUAUAUUUUAAUAUUUUAUUCUGCAGAUGAAUAAACCAUCACUCCUUUUAUUGGACUUUUUCUGGUUGGUGAGAUGCGUGUGCCAUGCAGUUGCGUUGGUUUUUCCGAACAAUAGGCUUUUGGAAAACUAAAGGCACAGUAUGGAUAGUCGACGACGGGUUCAACAAACAGUUAAGAAAAAUACAGAAGGGAUUACCCUAUACGUGGAGGCUUGUCAUACCAGCCUUUUCUGACCAAAACAACUUUUUUUGGAUGUGUGCCAGUCUUACUAAAAAGUUCAUUCAAUAUCUCAAUUGUUGAUUCUCUGGAUACCCGCUACACUCAAUGUUACAAAACACUUUGCGUGUAUAUGUUAGCAACGAUGGAGUGUCGGAUUCACACAGUGAACAUCAAACUUAUGUCACAUGGAACACUUUACAACAAACGAACAGGUGCGCGUUAUUCAACCACUAAAUAAAUAUCUUACGAGAACACAUUUUAUUUUAAAAAACUUUCCUAUUGAUAUAGUAAUUAUAAUACAACACUCUUUCAUAUUUCAGAACACCAAAAUGUAUGCCGAAUUUUUAAAACUUUGCAGACUGCGUGAAAGGGAUAAAUGUCUUCUUUCUCGUAAAACAAAGGCUUUGAAAAUCAUUACAUGGUUAAAUAACCACCACCAACAUUGGUAAUGAAAGACUGUUCGUACAAAUUCAUCUCUUACUUCAGAUGGCAACAAAAUGAAUAAACCAUCACUUCAUAUCCUGCUUUUAUUGGUCUUUUUCUUGUCGGUGAGAUACGUGUGCCAUGCACUCUCGUUUACUUUCCUGGACAAUAGGCUUGGUGAAACCAGGACGAAACCAAAGGGACAGUAUGGUAAAAGCAAUUGUUUUUAAAAUGAAUGUAGUCUCUUUUAAAUGAAUUGUAACUAGAUUUGAAGAAGAGUCGACCGGGUUGAGCAACCUAUUAAGGAAAAUGUAGAUGAUAUUGGCCUACGUGAAAGCUUGUCACACCAAAGCGUGUGUGUCCUUCUUACUGAAAAGUCCAUUCAAUCUUAAUUUGUUGAUUCUCUGGAUACCGCUACAUCCAAUGUAACAACAACACUAACACAUUGAAUACAACUAUGUGUGUAUGUUAGCAACCAUGGAGUGUCGGAUUCGCCUAUAGUGAACCACAAACACGGAACACCUUAAAAAGGUAAACGUUUUCAAUUUCCUGAGACGACCAACACAUAUUAUGCAAGAAAAUUUCUAAGUUAACUAGGUUACUAUUGAUCUUUUGGUAACAACAGCUCCAUAUUAGCCAAUGAAUAACGUGUUUUUAUCUUUACAGAAUACCACAUUUUGUGCCAGAUUUGCAAAAAGUUUGCACAUCCCGUGCAAGAACAGAAUGAUCUUCUUGUCCUUAAAAAGGCUUCGAAAAUCAUUACAUGGUUAAAUAACCACCACCAACAUUGGUAAUGAAAGACUGUUCGUACAAAUUCAUCUCUUACUUCAGAUGGCAACAAAGCAAGUUAUACCUCGCAUAUUUUGCUUCAUUGUAUAUUUUAAUUAAUAUUUGUUU